CAACUGAGUCAGGUGAUCGCGAGCUGCAAGGUUCGAGGAAAGUCCGAGCUCCAACGGGCAGAGUGCUGGGUAACUCCCAGGAGGGGUGACCCUACGGAAAGUGCCACAGAAACAUACCGCCUAGACGGACCCAGGGGCGCAAGCCGCUGAGUUGCGGUCGGUAAGGGUGAAACGGUGGGGUAAGAGCUCACCAGCGGCCGGGUGACCGGUCGGCUAGGCAAACCCCAUUUGGAGCAAGACCUAAUAGGAGGACUAUAAGGCGUGCCCGUCCUGUCCUCGGGUUGGUCGCUUGAGGUGUCAGGUAACUGACAUCCUAGAUAGAUGAUCACCAUUCGGGGUAAACUCCCGGAUACAGAACUCGGCUUACAGACCCAGUUGGGUC
rnacentral:RNase_P_RNA from 1 species